CAGGUCAGGAACAGCAAACAUUCGGCACAGAACUCUACUCUUUACAAACUCUACUGUACUUUUGUGCUGUCUAAACAUGACAUCAUUGCUAACAAACACAAUACAUUAAAAUUGCAGUAUUAAACUAUAUCAAUUUCUUUACUUAUUACACUGGAAAAGGAAAUCUAAUGCGGUCAUUCCACAGGUUACUCUAUACAACCACAGGUGGCACUGUGGUAACUCUAUACAAAA